rnacentral:rRNA from 1 species
GCACGUCGAACGAACUUACGUCCCUUGAUUAUGACGUACUUGUACUGAUUGAGAUUUUAACACGAAGUGAGUGGCGAACGGGUGAGUAACACGUGGGUAACCUGCCCAGAAGUAGGGGAUAACACCCGGAAACAGAUGCUAAUACCGUAUAACAGAGAAAACCGCAUGGUUUUCUUUUAAAAGAUGGCUCUGCUAUCACUUCUGGAUGGACCCGCGGCGUAUUAGCUAGUUGGUGAGGUAAAGGCUCACCAAGGCAGUGAUACGUAGCCGACCUGAGAGGGUAAUCGGCCACAUUGGGACUGAGACACGGCCCAGACUCCUACGGGAGGCAGCAGUAGGGAAUCUUCCACAAUGGACGCAAGUCUGAUGGAGCAACGCCGCGUGAGUGAAGAAGGGUUUCGGCUCGUAAAGCUCUGUUGUUAAAGAAGAACGUGGGUAAGAGUAACUGUUUACCCAGUGACGGUAUUUAACCAGAAAGCCACGGCUAACUACGUGCCAGCAGCCGCGGUAAUACGUAGGUGGCAAGCGUUAUCCGGAUUUAUUGGGCGUAAAGCGAGCGCAGGCGGUCUUUUAAGUCUAAUGUGAAAGCCUUCGGCUCAACCGAAGAAGUGCAUUGGAAACUGGGAGACUUGAGUGCAGAAGAGGACAGUGGAACUCCAUGUGUAGCGGAGAAAUGCGUAGAUAUAUGGAAGAACACCAGUGGCGAAGGCGGCUGUCUGGUCUGCAACUGACGCUGAGGCUCGAAAGCAUGGGUAGCGAACACGAUUAGAUA